UUGGAGGGCAAGUCUGGUGCCAGCAGCCGCGGUAAUUCCAGCUCCAAUAGCGUAUAUUAAAGUUGUUGCAGUUAAAAAGCUCGUAGUUGAAUUUCGGGGUUAGUAGGUUGGUCAUGCCUCUGGUAUGUACUGGUCUCACUGAUUCCUACUUCCUGAUGAGCCGUAAUGCCAUUAAUUUGGUGUUGCGGGGAAUUUGGACUGUUACUUUGAAAAAAUUAGAGUGUUUAAAGCAAGCUAACGCUUGAAUACAUUAGCAUGGAAUAAUGAAAUAGGACGUUCGAUCCUAUUUUGUUGGUUUCUAGGAUUGACGUAAUGAUUAAUAGGGAUAGUUGGGGGCAUUAGUAUUCAAUUGUCAGAGGUGAAAUUCUUGGAUUUAUUGAAGACUAACUACUGCGAAAGCAUUUGCCAAGGAUGUUUUCAUUAAUCAAGAACGAAAGUUAGGGGAUCGAAGACGAUCAGAUACCGUCGUAGUCUUAACCAUAAACUAUGCCGACUAGGGAUCGGAUGAUGUUAAUUUUUUAAUGACUCAUUCGGUGCCUUACGGGAAAC
rnacentral:rRNA from 1 species